CCUACGGGUGGCAGCAGUGAGGAAUAUUGGUCAAUGGACGAGAGUCUGAACCAGCCAAGUAGCGUGAAGGAUGACUGCCCUAUGGGUUGUAAACUUCUUUUAUAUGGGAAUAAAAUGUUCCACGUGUGGGAUUUUGUAUGUACCAUAUGAAUAAGGAUCGGCUAACUCCGUGCCAGCAGCCGCGGUAAUACGGAGGAUACGAGCGUUAUCCGGAUUUAUUGGGUUUAAAGGGAGCGUAGGUGGAUUGUUAAGUCAGUUGUGAAAGUUUGCGACUCAACCGUAAAAUUGCAGUUGAAACUGGCAGUCUUGAGUACAGUAGAGGUGGGCGGAAUUCGUGGUGUAGCGGUGAAAUGCUUAGAUAUCACGAAGAACUCCGAUUGCGAAGGCAGUUCACUGGACUGCAACUGACACUGAGGCUCGAAAGUGUGGGUAUCAAACAGGAUUAGAUACCCGAGUAGUC
rnacentral:rRNA from 1 species